rnacentral:rRNA from 1 species
CGGGGCAUCAGGCAACAGAGGGGUUCGAUCAUGGCUCAGAUUAGACGCUGGCGGGAUCUUCACGCCUUCAAAUCGGAGCGGCAGCGGCACGGACUUCGGUCUGGUGGCAGUGGCGAACGCGGGUGAGUAAUGUAUCGGAACGUGCCUAGUAGCGGGGGAUAACUGCAGCGUAGCUAAUACCGCAUACGCCCUUCAGAAAGCGGGAGACCUUCGGGCCUCUCUUUUCAAUGAAACGGCCGAUAUCGGAUUGGCUAGUUGGUGGGGUAACGGCUCACCAAGGCGACGAUCCGUAGCUGGUUUGAGAGGACGACCAGCCACACUGGGACUGAGACACGGCCCAGACUCCUGCAGGAGGCAGCAGUGGGGAAUUUUUGGACAAUGAAACCUGAUCCAGCCAUCCGCGUGUGCGAUGAAGGCCUUCGGGUUGUAAAAGCACUUUUGGCGGAAAAACGGCACGGGAUAAUACCCCGUGCAACUGACGAAAACCUGCAGAAUAGCACCGACAACUACGUGCCAGCAGCCGCGAUAUUACGUAGGGUGCAAGCGUUAAUCCAGAUUACUGGGCGUAAAGCGUGCGCAGGCGGUUCGGAAGAAAGAUGUGAAAUCGAGCUUAACUUUGGAACUGCAUUUUUAACUCUGAGCUGGAGUGUGUCGGAAGGGAGGUGGAAUUUCCGCGUCUUAGCAGUGAAGCGCGUGAAUAUGCGGAGAAGGAGCACCUGAAAUGGCGAAGGCAGCCUCCUGGGAUAACACUGACGCUCAUGCACGAAAGCGUGGGAGCAAACGGGAUUAGAUACCCUGGUAGUCCACGCUGAUCAACGAUGUCAACCUGGCUAUUUGGGGCCUUCGGGCCUUGGUGACGCAGCUAACGCGUGAAGUUAAUGACCGCCUGGGAGAUACGGUCGCAAAGAUUAAAACUCAAAGGUGUGGCGGGGACCCCGCACAAGCGGUGGAUGAUGGAUUAAUUCGAUGCAACGCGAAAAACCUUACCUACCUAAUGACAUGUCUGAGUCUUAGAGAUUUGGGAGUGCUCGCAAGAGAACCGGAACACAGGUGCUGCAUGGCUGUCGUCAGCUCGUGUCGUGAGAUGUUGGGUUAGAGAUUACGGCGAGCGCAACCCUUCGUAUCGUAGUUGCUACGAAAGGGCACUCUAAUGAGACUGCCGGUGACAAACCGGAGGAAGGUGGGGAUGACGUCCAGUCCUCAUGGCCCUUAUGGGUAGGGCUUCACACGUCAUACAAUGGUCGGGACAGAGGGUCGCCAACCCGCGAGAGGCUGUCCGAAGCCGAUCGUAGUCCGGAUCGCAGUGUCUGCAACUCGACUGCGUGGUCAGAAUCGCUAGUAAUCAUGAGAUCCAGCAUGUCGCGGUGAAUACGUUCCGGGUCUUGUGCCAUACGUCACACCAUCAAAUUGGGUUUUACCAGAAAGUAGUUAGCCCUAACCGUAAGGAGGGCAGUGCAAUGGAUUCAUGACUGGGUGUGGUCGUAACAAGGCCAA